AUUGAACGCUGGCGGCAGGCCUAACACAUGCAAGUCGAGCGGAUGAAGGGAGCUUGCUCCUGGAUUCAGCGGCGGACGGGUGAGUAAUGCUUAGGAAUCUGCCUGGUAGUGGGGGAUAACGUCCGGAAACGGGCGCUAAUACCGCAUACGUCCUGAGGGAGAAAGUGGGGGAUCUUCGGACCUCACGCUAUCAGAUGAGCCUAGGUCGGAUUAGCUAGUUGGUGGGGUAAAGGCCUACCAAGGCGACGAUCCGUAACUGGUCUGAGAGGAUGAUCAGUCACACUGGAACUGAGACACGGUCCAGACUCCUACGGGAGGCAGCAGUGGGGAAUAUUGGACAAUGGGCGAAAGCCUGAUCCAGCCAUGCCGCGUGUGUGAAGAAGGUCUUCGGAUUGUAAAGCACUUUAAGUUGGGAGGAAGGGCAGUAAGUUAAUACCUUGCUGUUUUGGCGUUACCAACAGAAUAAGCACUGGCUAACUUCGUG
rnacentral:rRNA from 1 species